CUCUCUCUUGCUCUCUCUCCAUCAAUUUGGGCCUUCCAUGUCUAAUUGUCUUCAACCAGUAGCUUUCGAAUCUCUGCUGAUGGAGCCACCGGGCCGACUAAUUCAAUUCUCGUUUUGAGGAAGGAAUGUGCAGGGUAUGGGAGAGUGACCCCACUGCACCUAUCUAGCACUAUCUGCUGUUCUGCUCCUCCGCUGGGGAACUAAGGAAGGCAAGAAACAAGGUAGAAGAGAGGAGGAGGAGGAGAGGGAGGUGACACUUAAGAGGGAACAACUCAUUCAUGCUGGUCAAGAGGUGGCAGCGAGCUGGUUGACUGAUCCCUGCUUGCGUCUGAAUGAUGGGCCUGCUGCAGACUGAGCUGUCCAGUGAUGCAGGUGACAGAGGACUGAGGAGCACUGAGCUUCCUGUCUACAUGUGAUCCGUCAUCGUUUUUUUUCCUCACAACGGGCAGCGAAACCACACACUGAUUGUCGUACAGGUUUUCAUGGGAGUCGUCUGGUGUCAACCCUAAAGACUAUUGCUUCCGGCCUUUUUCUGGAGAUUCCCAUUUAAAUAUGACGACCGCUGCAGGAGAUUGUCCGAGUCAGACGCGUUCACAACAGCAGGAAA